rnacentral:rRNA from 1 species
GACAAACGCUGGCGGCGUGCCUAACACAUGCAAGUCGAGCGUGAAAGGGGCUUCGGCCCUGAGUAAAGCGGCGAACGGGUGAGUAACACGUGGGCAACCUGCCUCAAGGACUGGGAUAACUCCGGGAAACCGGGGCUAAUACCGGACGAUGUCGUCUGGCGCAAGCCGGCCGACCAACGGUAGCUUCGGCCUCUGCCUUGAGAUGGGCCCGCGUCCUAUCAGCUUGUUGGUGAGGUAACGGCUCACCAAGGCUACGACGGGUAGCUGGUCUGAGAGGAUGAUCAGCCACACUGGGACUGAGAUACGGCCCAGACUCCUACGGGUGGCUG